AUGAACGCUGGCGGCGUGCUUAACACAUGCAAGUCGAACGAAGCACUUAUCUUUGAUUCUUCGGAUGAAGAGGUUUGUGACUGAGUGGCGGACGGGUGAGUAACGCGUGGGUAACCUGCCUCAUACAGGGGGAUAACAGUUAGAAAUGACUGCUAAUACCGCAUAAGACCACGGAGCCGCAUGGCUCCGUGGGAAAAACUCCGGUGGUAUGAGAUGGACCCGCGUCUGAUUAGGUAGUUGGUGGGGUAACGGCCUACCAAGCCGACGAUCAGUAGCCGACCUGAGAGGGUGACCGGCCACAUUGGGACUGAGACACGGCCCAAACUCCUACGGGAGGCAGCAGUGGGGAAUAUUGCACAAUGGGGGAAACCCUGAUGCAGCGACGCCGCGUGAGCGAAGAAGUAUUUCGGUAUGUAAAGCUCUAUCAGCAGGGAAGAAAAUGACGGUACCUGACUAAGAAGCACCGGCUAAAUACGUGCCAGCAGCCGCGGUAAUACGUAUGGUGCAAGCGUUAUCCGGAUUUACUGGGUGUAAAGGGAGCGUAGACGGCUGUGUAAGUCUGAAGUGAAAGCCCGGGGCUCAACCCCGGGACUGCUUUGGAAACUAUGCAGCUAGAGUGUCGGAGAGGUAAGUGGAAUUCCCAGUGUAGCGGUGAAAUGCGUAGAUAUUGGGAGGAACACCAGUGGCGAAGGCGGCUUACUGGACGAUGACUGACGUUGAGGCUCGAAAGCGUGGGGAGCAAACAGGAUUAGAUACCCUGGUAGUCCACGCCGUAAACGAUGACUACUAGGUGUCGGGGAGCAAAGCUCUUCGGUGCCGCAGCAAACGCAAUAAGUAGUCCACCUGGGGAGUACGUUCGCAAGAAUGAAACUCAAAGGAAUUGACGGGGGCCCGCACAAGCAGUGGAGUAUGUGGUUUAAUUCGAAGCAACGCGAAGAACCUUACCAAGGCUUGACAUAUACAGGAAUAUUUAAGAGAUUAAAUAGCUCUUCGGAGUCUGUAUACAGGUGGUGCAUGGUUGUCGUCAGCUCGUGUCGUGAGAUGUUGGGUUAAGUCCCGCAACGAGCGCAACCCUUAUCUUCAGUAGCCAGCAAUUCGGAUGGGCACUCUGGAGAGACUGCCAGGGAUAACCUGGAGGAAGGUGGGGAUGACGUCAAAUCAUCAUGCCCCUUAUGAGCAGGGCUACACACGUGCUACAAUGGCGUAAACAAAGGGAAGCAAACCUGCGAGGGUAAGCAAAUCUCAAAAAUAACGUCUCAGUUCGGAUUGUAGUCUGCAACUCGACUACAUGAAGCUGGAAUCGCUAGUAAUCGCGAAUCAGCAUGUCGCGGUGAAUACGUUCCCGGGUCUUGUACACACCGCCCGUCACACCAUGGGAGUUGGUAACGCCCGAAGUCAGUGACCCAACCGUAAGGAGGGAGCUGCCGAAGGUGGGACCGAUAACUGGGGUG
rnacentral:rRNA from 1 species